rnacentral:rRNA from 1 species
GACGAACGCUGGCGGCGUGCCUAAUACAUGCAAGUCGAACGCAGUGGGGACGGGUGAGUAACACGUGGGUAACCUCCCAUCAGAGGGGAUAACACUUGGAAACAGGUGCUAAACCGAUACUGAUGGAUGGACCCGCGGUGCAUUAGCUAGUUGGUGGGGUAAUGGCUCACCUAGGCCACGAUGCCUAGCCGGUCUGAGCGGGUGACCGGCCACACUGGAACUGAGACACGGCCCAGACUCCUACUGGAGGCAGCAGUGGGGAAUUUUGGGCAAUGGACGAAAGUCUGACCGAGCAAUGCCGCGUGUGUGAAGAAGGUGUUCGGGUCGUAAAGCUCUGUUGGUAGAGAAGCGGUAUCUGACCAGGAAGCCCCGGCUAACUACGUGCCAGCCGCCGCGGUAAUUC